CGGGUGCCGUCGUGGCGCGGUGCAGCGCGGGGUCGCCAUGGCAGACGUGCAGCAGCUUCGGGUGCAGGAGGCGGUGGACACCAUGGUGAAGAGUCUGGAGAGAGAGAAUAUCUGGAAGAUGCAGGGCGUCAUGUUCCGGGGCAGCGCUGACUGUUGUGAGGACAGCCAGGCGUCCAUGCAGCAGGUGCACCAGUGCAUUGAGCGCUGCCACGCACCUCUGGCUCAAGCCCAGACCCUGGUUACCAGCGAGUCGGAGAAGUUCCAGGACCGCCCGGCCCGGUGCACCAUGCAUUGCAACGACAAAGCCAAAGACUCCAUAGAUGCAGGGAGCAAAGAGCAUCAGGUGAAGCGGCAGCUGGAGAGUUGUGUGACCAAGUGCCUGGAUGACCAUAUGAACCUCAUUCCCACCAUGACCAAGGAGAUGAAGUCUCUCUCAUCCAUUCAGAAAUAGCAGUCUUUGCCAUUGGCCAUGGAGGCUGAGGGCAGGAACCUAUUUAAAAUGAAGAGUGCGAAUGUUGGUCUUUUAAGCAGUUUAGGGAUGAAGAAAUUCAGGAUGGCAGCAAGUUUAAGGCAUGUGUCACUUGCCAGUGGUCUGGUGGGAGGGGAGGGGAGGUAUUUCUGUUUGUUGCCAACCUCCUGUCUACCAGAAGCAUUACCACACCAUUGUCCAUAAGCUGUGAAACAAAACCCAUGAGGUUACUAAUUGAGAAGUGGAAAACGGUUUCUGAGUAUUUGUUUGGUUUGGUUUUGUUUUAUGUACAAGGACAUAAAGUUCAUUUAAAAUGUGGAGUUGAGGGAGGUAGUUUGCAUAAGAACUUGAAAAGGUUCCUUUGGAUAGAUAUCAUUUCUGUCCAAGAUGCAGACAUGCAUUUAAAUGCUCACACAUUACACCUUUCAGCUCGGAAACCUACAGAAACAUGAGAGGCAAUGUCAGCCUGGACCUGGGA